AAAACACGAAAAACGGGAGAGAGAAAACCAUUCAAGUCGUGUCUCUUCCGACUCCUUUUCUCUCUUCCUUCAAUCGUAUCUAUCUCCUCCCUUCUCGAUGCCGACUCCGACUUACCUGCACCAUUCGAAUUAUAGCUUUCCCCAUGAACACGACGCUACAACUAGGAUUUUCUAUUAGGGUAUUCAUUUCUCCUCUGACGACAUUGUUUGAGCCUCUCGCCUUCUUGACAAUGAAAUUCGAAUACUCAAG
rnacentral:lncRNA from 1 species